ACGUAGGGUGCAAGCGUUAAUCGGAAUUACUGGGCGUAAAGCGCACGCAGGCGGUGUUGUAAGACAGAUGGGAAAUCCCCGGGCUCAACCUGGGAAAUGCAUCUGAUACUGGCAAGCUGGAGUCUCGGAGAGGGGGGUAGAAUUCCAGGUGUAGCGGUGAAAUGCGUAGAGAUAUGGAGGAAUACCGGUGGCGAAGGCGGCCCCCUGGACGAAGACUGACGCUCAGGUGCGAAAGCGUGGGGAGCAAAAAG
rnacentral:rRNA from 1 species